rnacentral:rRNA from 1 species
GACGAACGCUGGCGGCGUGCUUAACACAUGCAAGUCGUUCGGUAAGGCCCUUUCGGGGGUACACGAGUGGCGAACGGGUGAGUAACACGUGAGUAACCUGCCCACAACUUUGGGAUAACGCUAGGAAACUGGUGCUAAUACUGGAUAUGUGCUCCUGCUGCAUGGUGGGGGUUGGAAAGCUCCGGCGGUUGUGGAUGGACUCGCGGCCUAUCAGCUUGUUGGUGGGGUAGUGGCCUACCAAGGCGGCGACGGGUAGCCGGCCUGAGAGGGUGACCGGCCACAUUGGGACUGAGAUACGGCCCAGACUCCUACGGGAGGCAGCAGUGGGGAAUAUUGCACAAGGGGCGCAAGCCUGAUGCAGCAACGCCGCGUGCGGGAUGACGGCCUUCGGGUUGUAAACCGCUUUCAGCAGGGACGAAGCUUUUUGUGACGGUACCUGCAGAAGAAGCACCGGCUAACUACGUG